rnacentral:rRNA from 1 species
AACGAACGCUGGCGGCAGGCUUAACACAUGCAAGUCGAACGCGUGUAGCAAUACACGAGUGGCGCACGGGUGAGUAACGCGUGGAUAUCUGCCUUUUGGUUCGGAAUAACCCCGGGAAACUGGGGCUAAUACCGGAUGGUUCCUUCGGGAUAAAGAUUUAUCGCCAAAAGAUGAGUCCGCGUACGAUUAGCUAGUUGGUGAGGUUAUGGCUCACCAAGGCGACGAUCGUUAGCUGGUCUGAGAGGACGAUCAGCCACACUGGGACUGAGACACGGCCCAGACUCCUACGGGAGGCAGCAGUGGGGAAUAUUGGACAGUAGGGGCAACCCUGAUCCAGCCAUGCCGCGUGAGUGAUGAAGGCCUUCGGGUUGUAAAGCUCUUUUGGCGGGGACGAUGAUGACGGUACCCGCAGAAUAAGCCCCGGCUAACUUCGUGCCAGCCGCCGCUGUAACAC